rnacentral:tRNA from 1 species
GUAGUUGGUAAGAAAAUCCUGUGUCCCUUGUGGACGUGCGGGUUCGAUUCCCGCCCUAAGCACCA